GGGCCAGGAGGGGUGACAGGGGCUGACAGCGCGGUGGGGAGAGGACAGAGUCUACAAGGGAAUGGGUAUGGGAGGACGGGGGCCGUGGGGGGGGGGGGGACGGGGCACUGGGGGAGCCAGGGACUGGGGUGGGGGGGCAUGGGGCUGGGAGGGGAGGGUGCGUUUCCUUCAGUGGCUGCAGCCGACGUCCCUCUGCCCCCCCGCUGGCCCCCUCCACUGUGGCUGCCGCCCUGCCCCAUGCAGUUCACCGCGUUGCACUGGGCAGCGAAGCACGGCAAGGAGGACAUGGCCGCGAUGCUCGUGGAUGCUGGGGCCGACAUCAACACGCGAGCGCACGGCGUGAGUAUGCUCAGCUGGACGGACGGACGCGCUGCAGGCCUGGCCCAGGACGGGGGGCGCGGGGGGGUGCCCUGGGAAGGGGCCGGGGCGUCCCCAGGGCGGUGGGAAUGGGCGUCCCUGGCAGGGUGGUGGCAGCAG